AUAGCCACUUCAUUUACUCCAUGCUCAUAUGCAACAUCUUCCCAAUCUAUUGGUCUCUCCGACAUCACCACACUUGAGAUCUCCAACCCCCUCUUCCUUUCUAUUUAUAAAAACUUUAAAAGGGCGGUUGCCGAUGCAUAUGUCUAUAAUAAAUAUUGCAGAUCUUGUUGAGUUGAUCUUGAUAUAGGUUAGCGUUGGAAGGGAAACCACUUCGCCGACACAAAUUGAUGGUUUCCCAAGGACAAACUUAGUGUCCUAAAAUAAGCACUGAUCAGAUCGUAACAUGAGCUUUUAAUUAUCUGCAACAUUACCUUGUGUAUUGAGCAUAUAAGGAUAAUUGUAAAAAUAUUCCUUCGGGUAUUCUUGUCACUAACCUUUCCAGGACUGGAGCAAGAAGAUCGGAUGAAUGACAAGCACAAGGUAUGUCCAACCGAUCAUCAUACAACAUUGAAUUAAAUUCAUCCAAACUUGAAUUUUGCAAAAUUCAAGCUUGGGGUAGUACCUUACAUAAAAACGUCCUUUGUCAUGUUGUUAUGUUGGUUGUCUCUACCUUUGAGACAUGCUCAAUUUGUUAAAUACUAAUCACACUACUUCAUCUCCACUUGAGUAGAUCUCUAUAAAUGCCAUCACGCUACCUUUGUUUAUCCUAGUAAGUGUUAGUUUGGAAGUACUACACAUACUUCUAUUGGCUUUUAAAUUAAGCAUGGUGCUUAGGUUAAACAGCCUUCCUUAAUCUGAUUAGACAUGGAGUCUAGUUCGGUUAUUGAACUAAAAACUGCUUGUGUAGACAUUGGUAUAUUUUGUCGGACUAACCCCUGCAGAAAAACUUUCAAUAUCAAUUUGGGAAGUCCUGAGAUAAACUCACAUUGAAGACAAAGAGAGAGACACAUGAAGUUUAACAAUUUACACAAGGAGGACAUAGCUCAUUCAUCAUAGAGAGAUGAUCCAUGGAAGGAGACAAAGUACAUAACCAAGAUGAACAACAGCUAAGAAUGGAAAGCUUCCACAAGGUGAUACUGUACCAUCACUCUUCAAUUAAGAUAACAUCUUAAGAUAUCUGACUAUCACUUUUAUAAGCUUCUCCUUGGUUCUGGCGUUCACAUAAAUAAAGAGACAAACAUGUAUGAUUUAUAACUCCAAAUUAACCAACCCAACUGAUUCAGCAUGUUUAGUCCUUUAAUCUUUGUUCCUAGUACUACCUCCAUGAUCCCACACUCCUAAUCAUAUGAUCUAAAAUGUUACACAUUCAAUCUUUGAGAGAUAUAAAGAAAAAGACAUAUAAAUAGAUAGAUUAUCUCUCCAUAAGGUUGAGCGAUCUGCUUUGACAAAUGCUAUAAGUGCCACACUCAUGAACUUAUCAUCCAUCAACUUUGUCUUGCUCACUAUGCUUAAGGUUAGAGAAGAACAAAUACACUUUUGGUUCUAUUGGUGUUUUCCACCAACAGGACCCAUGCACUUGAUCUCUGCCUUGUCUCUAUGAGCAGGUACACUUCGAGCAAAACAUGAAGGAGUUUUAUAACUCUCAGACUCUACCAAGUGAAGGUCCUGGAUUUACGAGCACAAACACACUGAGUAGGAUGCUGCCAACGCCGCACUUCGAACUGCUGGGCAAACGAAGAACAUGGGUGAUACCGUAUCAAGAGGAGUAGACGUCAAGGUCCGCACCUGAAUCAAAUGACGCACCUGAAGAAUGAACAUGGUGAGAAGUCUUGUUCAGAAGACUUAAAACAUUGAACCCUCGCCGAAAGGUAAAAUCGGUAGUUAUCCAUAUUUAUCCUUUCUGCAUUCCCUUUUCCCUUUAGUUACUUACUUUCCUUAAAUAGCUUAUUAGUUAAUCAUGCUAUCCUGAAAAGAAAAUAAAAAUGUUAAAAAUACUAAGCCCCAUGUGAGUAUGCUUGUGGCAUGAAACCCAUAAGUACAUUCACUGUGGCGGCAUAAAAAUAAAAUAAAUAUAUUCCUAUCUUAUAGAAAUGAAAAUAUAAAAAUAAAUUUAUGAUCCUACCAAAGAGAGUAAUAUUUAUUAGAGAAAGCUCAACAUGAUAAAGGCGAAGAGAUUUUAUGCUAACACUUAACCAGUUCCACAAAGCUUUGUUGUCUAUUUGAGCUCCACAGAAUUCAAGGAUCAAAGAAGACUAGCAGACGGAGGACAUUCUAAUCGCUGUCACUGCCGACAUUCAAAUACACCUCCGCCACCUGCUAGCUACAUCAGAAGAAAUUACGUCAAAAUCUAGCUUGGGGGAGAGCACCCCCAUUUAUCCAGCUAGGUGUUUCUACUCAUAUUUAUACAUUACUCAAAUAAUAAAAAGAUGCAUAAUCAUAAAAACCCAAAUAAAGAUUUUAUGCUUAUAUAUAUAUCUAUGCUUAGUUUGCUAAAUAAAUAAAUAAAUAAAGUUUGCUAUGAACCCUCAUGAUAAGCUCUCACAUGGAUAUGAUGAAUAGUUGCUCUGCCAUGACUAGUUCUCAAAAUUAAAAUCUCUCUCAAGUUUAGGUAUGACUGUUAUGAAUUAAGAUUUGCUCUAAACGUGAACUUGUGGGAAGAGUACUUGAUCUAAAGUCUAAGUCGUUAACGGAUAUGAUAUGGGAAGGUUGAUCUCCUGUUUAUCCGUUCCUAGAAAUGCUAGAUCUCUGGAGAAUUUUAUCUUAAAAAAAAAUCUUUAAAAUAUGGCAUGAUGUGUUCCUGUAUGAUGAGAGUUUAAAAUCCUACCACAGCCAUAUAUACAUGCUUAUUAGCCUAUGAACCAUACAUUUACUUUUUACUACUUAUGAGCAUUGAGUGUGGUCAAGCUGUGUAGACCCUUAGGAGCUUGUCAUGUGGUUAAAAUCAAGAUCCACCUGCACGUUCACUCAUACAUGCUGCUUCUACUCCGGAAGUACGCAUCCACAUACAUCCAUUCAUUUCCAUCUCCAGAUUCACCUAAAAUUAUUCUACUCCUAUCCAGGAGAGAAUAGCCAAAAACAUUAUCCUAUCCCUGUUAUUCCCUGUGAAAUAAAUGCUUGAGAUAUUUUGGUUACUACCACUUGCUAUAUUAUUCUAGGAGGGUGAGUGCUCUGAAAAAAAAGUGAAUACGAGGAAAUAAAAAGGGGCAAGUGCCCGGAACCUCGAAAGAAAAGAAAAAGUGAGACGAGAGGUAAAAAUGGACAAGUGUCCGAUAGUCGAAUUAGGGGAACAAGAUACCCACCUGAGAGAUAAGAAAAAAAAUAAAAUAUAGAGCAUCUCAUUCCCUUCAAAAAGCUUCAAAGUGCAAGAAAGGUAUGUAUCCCCUCAAAAGAGCAAAAGUAGAAUUAGACUUUCACCAAUAUUUUCACCAUCAUCACCAUAGACCAUGCAUUCGCCACACAUGCACAUCUUGAUUUGACUUGUUGACUUGUUUCUCUGGAUCCAUAGUUUGACUAUGCAAUAAAUGUCUUGUAAGUAUGUAUUAGCUGUCUCCCACCUAUGAGCUCCAGAUAUCAAACCUUAUUAGAGUAGGGUGAGAGACAAGGCAAUAUCACUAUGCCUCAUACCACAAAUACUACAUACUUUGAGAGAGUCAUACAGGAAUCUCUGAGUUUUAUUUUGAAAAUCUACAAAAACUCCAGAGCUAUAGUUGAUCAAGAACAAGAGACAUGGUACUUGACUUGACCGUUCUAUCUUUUAACUGCUCAAGACACAAGUGACGGUUGCAAGCCCCAUGGUGAAAGGUAAUAUGAGUAAGUUUUAAAUCUUAACAAUUUACCCUAAACUAGAGAUGAGAUCUUGUUUAAAUGCAUGUGUACCUUUAAGGCAUAAAACCACUGUAGAAACUCUUGAGUCCAUCCUUGCUCAGGGACGAGCAAGAGGUAAGCUUGGGGGAGUUGUUGACGGUCCUUAAGUACCAAAUAUAAUCAGCAAAUAAACAAAGAAAAGGAUCUAAAUACAACCAACAUCUAAACUUAGGGUUUUAUCUGACAGAAUUCCACGAGUUUUGGUGUUUGUCUAUUUCUGCAGGGGGUUAUCAGGAAAUAUGGAGGAAAGGCCCACAUGUCGGGUUUACAUAGAGAUAUGAACGUGCCGCGAAAUUUUCUAUCAUCUAGAAGACUCCAGAAGCCACGAGAACGAACGGGUGGCUGAGCGGGCU
rnacentral:lncRNA from 1 species